GACGAACGCUGGCGGCGUGCCUAAUACAUGCAAGUAGAACGCUGAAGGAGGAGCUUGCUUCUCUGGAUGAGUUGCGAACGGGUGAGUAACGCGUAGGUAACCUGCCUGGUAGCGGGGGAUAACUAUUGGAAACGAUAGCUAAUACCGCAUAAGAGUAGAUGUUGCAUGACAUUUGCUUAAAAGGUGCAAUUGCAUCACUACCAGAUGGACCUGCGUUGUAUUAGCUAGUUGGUGAGGUAACGGCUCACCAAGGCAACGAUACAUAGCCGACCUGAGAGGGUGAUCGGCCACACUGGGACUGAGACACGGCCCAGACUCCUACGGGAGGCAGCAGUAGGGAAUCUUCGGCAAUGGACGGAAGUCUGACCGAGCAACGCCGCGUGAGUGAAGAAGGUUUUCGGAUCGUAAAGCUCUGUUGUAAGAGAAGAACGAGUGUGAGAGUGGAAAGUUCACACUGGACGGUAUCUACCAGAAA
rnacentral:rRNA from 1 species